GCUCAGCUUUCUUUAUAGUCCAACUCUCGCAUCCAUACAUGACCACUGGAUCUCUUAGACCCACUCUAACCUCCAAAGAGCUCAGUUUCCUUGUCCUUGAUCACCUCCUAUGCCUGCUCCCUUCUCUCUGCAAUCUUUCCCCAAGAGCCCUCUGGAACUUCAUUCAUGAUAAACUCUCUCUUGCCCAUAACCACGUCACAGUGGGUCUCCCCUUCACCUCUUCGGGCUAAACGAGUCCCAGCUCAUCAAUGCAAGGCCACCACUCCUCCCCUGUCACUUUUCCAAGGCGAUGCCAUUCAUCCGGACUGGACCCAAGAGCGGGAGGAGAACCACACUGUCAGCUCCCAGUGACAGCUCACCCACUCAUGCUGAUGCGGAACUAGCCUGUAUACUGUCCUCUGUCAAUGUCAGAUGCCAACCCGCAUCAUCCUUCGCCCUCAUUCAAGGAGCCUUUGGCACCUGGCUCAAUCUUCCUGUCCACCCCUAGUCCUGCCAUUGUCCUGAGUAGCUUCAAUCUUAGUUCUUUGCUCUCAAGAGAAUCCGCUCCACAGCACUUAGGCCGCCCUUCCCGUGGCCACCCCUGGACCUUGCCAUCACCCUGAACUGUUCUGCCUAUGACAUCUUAAAUCCGAUAGCUUACUGUGAUCAAAAGACACCAUUUUUCACUCCAGCCAUCAUCAUCACAUCUGUAUUUUAUUUCAGCAAGACCUUCUGUAUCUUGACUCCUCUGCUGUCUCCUUCUCUAUCAACCCCCACCUGGUUUUACUUCCUCCCUGUCAAAUCCCUCCCUUCCCAGUUUCCCUAGCAAACCCAGACUCCAUGACACAUCACAUCACUGUUUUACAGACAUCCUCACUCUCCUCUCUUGGCUUUAGGAACACUUAAGUUCCCUCCCUUAAUUUCAAUAUGUCUUUCUCCUUUCCCUUAAGUGUCAGUUUUCUUGAAUGCCUAUUGGAUUCUUCCCACUCUCCCCUGAUAAUCUCAUGUACACUGCUUGCCUAUUUCUGGCAAUUAAUUUUUUUGUCUAAGAUUCCAAGUCAUUUGCUUUGCAGUUUCUUUUCACAAGGAGACUAUACAAAAUUGGCCUGUAUGCAGGUCAAGAAGCAACAGUUAGAACCCAACAUGGAACAACAGACUGG
rnacentral:lncRNA from 1 species